CGUUGUAGUGUGAAGGGGUGCCGUGAACAGCCGCUUUUUAUUUGGCUCGCCCGAUGUGGUUGCUCGCUAGGCUUUUCAACGGUAGCAGGCGACUACCACAUUUUUCGUAAGUUUUCUGACAUAUGUUGGAUUACACGAUUUCGAACAACAUACGAGAAAUGGGAAAGACAAGAGUGUGUUGUAUUUGUGGUAUUUCUUCAGAUUAUAAAAAGAAGAGUAGAAAUUCCCGUAGCUUUUUUAAUUUUCCGAACCCGAAUAUCAAAAAGUUAGUGCCGUUUGAUAAGGAUCUGUUGGAAAGGAGGCUUGUUGCAUGGAAAGAAGUUGUUGGAACUAAUUAUGAUAAUGUCCCUAUUGGGCUGACUUGUGUUUGUUCUGACCACUUCCAAUCAGGUAAACCAGCUCACUUUUGCAAUUCAAACGAUAUUGAUUAGAUACCAUCAAAGAAUUUGGAUCUGUUGGUCACUAACAAAACAAGAAACACUCAAUAUGCAAACGAACAUUCACACAAUUACAAUGAUGAAGAAUCAAAUGUUGAUGUCACCUUACUUAAUGAUGACACAGCUUCAUCAUCAGACAUUGUUGAAAACAGCACUGCAGCUACAGAGUACAGUAGUUCACAGCCUAAUCCUAGUAUAGAUUUCAUUUCAGCAGCCUGGAAAUACAGAAAUGAAAUAGCAAGCUUGAUCUACGACUUGAGAAGAGCUGGUGUUGAAAGCCCACAAGAAUGUAAGUUGGGUGACUUGAUUCAUUUUCAUGAACAGGAUACCUACGUCAAUGAAGCAGUCCUUAUGAGAACACAAUUAAACCAAAAGACAAUUGCUUUGGAGUCGUGUAACCUCGAAUUAGAUAAUAUGAAGAAAGAGCUGGAAAUAGCAAAGGAGUAUAUAGGUAACCUAAGAGCACAAUUAGAAGAGAACACCCAAACAUUGUGCUCAUACCUAGCUAACCGCUCAUAAUUUGUGUUUUCUAAUUUGAAAUCUCAAUCAUGUGAAAUCGCAAUCAAAGUCUCAAUCAUGUCAUCAGUAUCAAUGUAUCAGUAAUCAAAGUCUCAAUCAUUUGAAAUCUCAAUCAUCAAAGAAUUUUUUAAUCUGUCGAGCGAAUCAGAUUACUUAUUUUUAUUCGGAAACGCAGGUUGGGUUUUUCAGUUUAGUUGUGGGAUUCCGGACUGUGUUAUGAAACACUUGAAUUGCGGUUUGUUUUUUGGCAAAAUAUAGAUCCGAAUAAAACCUAGCUUUCUUU